UACGUAGGUGGCAAGCGUUGUCCGGAAUUACUGGGCGUAAAGGGCUUGUAGGCGGCCUUUUAAGUCAGACGUGAAAUCCCUGGGCUUAACCCAGGAACUGCGUUUGAAACUGAGAGGCUUGAGGAUCGGAGAGGGCAGUGGAAUUCCCAGUGUAGCGGUGAAAUGCGUAGAUAUUGGGAGGAACACCAGUGGCGAAGGCGACUGUCUGGACGACACCUGACGCUGAGGCGCGAAAGCUAGGGGAGCAAACGGG
rnacentral:rRNA from 1 species